ACCCUUGCCUUUUUUGUACCUUCUGUUGCCUCGGCGUCUGCUAUCACGGCGGCGCCAACGGGGCCAAAUAAUAAACUCUUUUUUAUCAUGAAAUAGUCUGAAAAAAAAAUAAAAGUUAAAACUUUCAACAACGGAUCUCUUGGUUCUGGCAUCGAUGAAGAACGCAGCGAAAUGCGAUAAGUAGUGUGAAUUGCAGAAUUCAGUGAAUCAUCGAAUCUUUGAACGCACAUUGCGCCCUUUGGUAUUCCUUAGGGCAUGCCUGUUCGAGCGUCAUUUAAACCUUCAAGCUCUGCUUGGUGUUGGGCCUGUCACGCCUCCCUCCGCGGGGGUGUGCGCCUCAAAUGUAUUGGCGGCCGGUACGUUGGCUUCGAGCGCAGCAGAAACGCGAACUCGAGGACUCCGGAUCGGCCCUCCACAAGCUAUUUAACAUUUUGACCUCGGAUCAGGUAGGGAUACCCGCUGAACUUAAGCAUAUCAAUAAGCGGAGGAAAAGAAACCAACAGGGAUUGCCCUAGUAACGGCGAGUGAAGCGGCAACAGCUCAAAUUUGAAAUCUGGCUCCUUCGGAGUCCGAGUUGUAAUUUGUAGAGGGUGCUUUGGCGUUGGCUGUGGUCUAAGUUCCUUGGAACAGGACGUCGCAGAGGGUGAGAAUCCCGUAUGUGGCCGCCAGCCUCCGCCGUGUAAAGCCCCUUCGACGAGUCGAGUUGUUUGGGAAUGCAGCUCUAAAUGGGAGGUAAAUUUCUUCUAAAGCUAAAUAUUGGCCAGAGACCGAUAGCGCACAAGUAGAGUGAUCGAAAGAUGAAAAGCACUUUGG
rnacentral:rRNA from 1 species